GAUGAACGCUAGCGGCAGGCUUAAUACAUGCAAGUCGAGGGGUAGCAAGAUUGUAGCAAUACAAUUGUUGACGACCGGCAAACGGGUGCGGAACACGUACACAACCUUCCUACAAGUGGGGAAUAGCCCAGAGAAAUUUGGAUUAAUACCCCGUAACAUAGCGAUGUGGCAUCACAUUGCUAUUAUAGCUUCGGCGCUUGUUGAUGGGUGUGCGGCUGAUUAGAUAGUUGGCGGGGUAACGGCCCACCAAGUCUACGAUCAGUAGCCGAAGUGAGAGCCUGAUCAGCCACACGGGCACGGAGACACGGGCCCGACUCCUACGUGAGGCAGCAGUAAGGAAUAUUGGACAAUGGACGAAAGUCUGAUCCAGCCAUGCCGCGUGAAGGAUUAAGGUCCUCUGGAUUGUAAACUUCUUUUAUAAGGGACGAAAAAAGGUCUUUCUAGAUCGUCUGACGGUACCUUAUGAAUAAGCACCGGCUAACUCCGUGCCAGCCGCCGCAGUAAUAC
rnacentral:rRNA from 1 species